rnacentral:rRNA from 1 species
AGAGUUUGAUCAUGGCUCAGAUUGAACGCUGGCGGCAGGCCUAACACAUGCAAGUCGAACGGUAGCACAGAGAGCUUGCUCUCGGGUGACGAGUGGCGGACGGGUGAGUAAUGUCUGGGAAACUGCCUGAUGGAGGGGGAUAACUACUGGAAACGGUAGCUAAUACCGCAUAACGUCUUCGGACCAAAGUGGGGGACCUUCGGGCCUCACACCAUCGGAUGUGCCCAGAUGGGAUUAGCUAGUAGGUGGGGUAAUGGCUCACCUAGGCGACGAUCCCUAGCUGGUCUGAGAGGAUGACCAGCCACACUGGAACUGAGACACGGUCCAGACUCCUACGGGAGGCAGCAGUGGGGAAUAUUGCACAAUGGGCGCAAGCCUGAUGCAGCCAUGCCGCGUGUAUGAAGAAGGCCUUCGGGUUGUAAAGUACUUUCAGCGGGGAGGAAGGCGAUAAGGUUAAUAACCUUGUCGAUUGACGUUACCCGCAGAAGAAGCACCGGCUAACUCCGUGCCAGCAGCCGCGGUAAUACGGAGGGUGCAAGCGUUAAUCGGAAUUACUGGGCGUAAAGCGCACGCCGGCGGUCUGUCUAGUCAGAUGUGAAAUCCCCGGGCUUAACCUGGGAACUGCA